AUGAUGACUGAUAAGUAUGUAAACUUCAUUGACAAAUAUUGCAUGAAUAUGAAAGAAUGAGAACAUGUUAGAGCUCUUCUAUAAAAGCAUGCAAAGCAAACCAUUGAUCAAUUUGCUUGCUGUAUUUUUUUUGGAUGUUUGUAAACAACAGGUAGGUAGUGUGUUUACUAUAUACUGGAAUUUGAUUGGGCAGUAAACAUUAAAUUCAAUUCAUGUCCAAUCAAAUCCCAGUAUAUAUUGAAACUCCACCUACCUAUUGUUUACA
rnacentral:lncRNA from 1 species